rnacentral:rRNA from 1 species
GAUGAACGCUAGCUACAGGCUUAACACAUGCAAGUCGAGGGGUAGCAGGGUAGCAAUACCGCUGACGACCGGCGCACGGGUGAGUAACACGUAUCCAACCUUCCCAUAACUCUGGGAUAGCCUUUCGAAAGAAAGAUUAAUACCGGAUAGUACUUUUUCAAGGCAUCUUGAGAAAGUUAAAGAUUUAUUGGUUAUGGAUGGGGAUGCGUUCCAUUAGAUAGUUGGUGAGGUAACGGCUCACCAAGUCUUCGAUGGAUAGGGGUUCUGAGAGGAAGGUCCCCCACAUUGGUACUGAGACACGGACCAAACUCCUACGGGAGGCAGCAGUGAGGAAUAUUGGUCAAUGGGCGAGAGCCUGAACCAGCCAAGUAGCGUGAAGGAUGAAGGUCCUAUGGAUUGUAAACUUCUUUUAUAGUAGAAUAAAGUGACCCACGUGUGGGUUUUUGUAUGUAUACUAUGAAUAAGGAUCGGCUAACUCCGUGCCAGCAGCCGCCGCCGUAA